rnacentral:rRNA from 1 species
AGUGAACGCUGGCGGUAGGCCUAACACAUGCAAGUCGAACGGCAGCACAGUAAGAGCUUGCUCUUACGGGUGGCGAGUGGCGGACGGGUGAGGAAUACAUCGGAAUCUACUUUUUCGUGGGGGAUAACGUAGGGAAACUUACGCUAAUACCGCAUACGACCUACGGGUGAAAGCAGGGGAUCUUCGGACCUUGCGCGAUUGAAUGAGCCGAUGUCGGAUUAGCUAGUUGGCGGGGUAAAGGCCCACCAAGGCGACGAUCCGUAGCUGGUCUGAGAGGAUGAUCAGCCACACUGGAACUGAGACACGGUCCAAACUCCUCGGGGGGGCAGCAGGGGGGAAUAUGGGAAAAGGGGCGCAAGCCUGAUCCAGCCAUACCGGGGGGGUGAAGAAGGCCUUCGGGUUGUAAAGCCUUUUUGUUGGGAAAGAAAAGCAGCAGGUUAAUACCCCGCUGUUCUGACGGUACCCAAAGAAUAAGCACCGGCUAACUUCGU